rnacentral:rRNA from 1 species
GGAAUCUUCCGCAAUGGACGAAAGUCUGACGGAGCAAUGCCGCGUGAGUGACGAAGGUUUUCGGAUCGUAAAACUCUGUUGUAAGGGAAGAACAAGUACCAAGUAACUACUGGUACCUUGACGGUACCUUACCAGAAAGCCACGGCUAACUACGUGCCAGCAGCCGCGGUAAUACGUAGGUGGCAAGCGUUGUCCGGAAUUAUUGGGCGUAAAGCGCGCGCAGGCGGUCCCUUAAGUCUGAUGUGAAAGCCCACGGCUCAACCGUGGAGGGUCAUUGGAAACUGGGGGACUUGAGUGCAGAAGAGGAAAGUGGAAUUCCAUGUGUAGCGGUGAAAUGCGUAGAGAUGUGGAGGAACACCAGUGGCGAAGGCGACUUUCUGGUCUGUAACUGACGCUGAGGCGCGAAAGCGUGGGGAGCAAACAGGAUUAGAUACCCGUG